GGGCCUGUAGUUUAAUGGUAAAAUACCUCGUUUGCAAAGUCAAGUUGAGGUGAUGGAAUUUGACUCAAAAACCGAGGAGCCCCGUGUUCGAUUCACGGCAGGUCCA
rnacentral:tRNA from 1 species